rnacentral:lncRNA from 1 species
CUUCACUUCAGCUUAACUAAAUACCAUAUCUCCUUCAGCAGCUUGAGUUUCUGGAAAGGCCCAGACUGUCCACGCUCCUCAGUAGGGUUUGUUUGCAAAGUCCUAGGUUAGCUGGAGCAAGAGGGAGGUAGGAGGACCUCGGAACACACAUCGAAGUCUGCACUCCAAAAGCUGCCAGAGUGUCUGAGAGUUGUUAUCCCGGUCGGAGGAGGCGAGGCCUGGGACUCGAGUGGAGAUUUAUCUUCCCUGGCACAUUGCCCCACUUCCGGAACUACAGGGAGAAGGAAAGGAAGGUCUACGGCCAUACCACCCUGAACGCAUCCAAUCUCAUCUGAUCUAAGAAAGGAACGUCUGAUCAAGGUGCUUUGAUAGUUGGUGAGGACCUGAAACUACAGACUGUAGACCAAACAGAAGGGAGAAAAGACAUUCAAGGUGAGCACUGAGGAGAGUUUGCAUGCCUAAUGAUCAAGAAUUAUCCAGAAAUCCUGGGUGUGGGGGGGGGGUGUCUCCCACCAGGCUGGGGCCAAUUAUCCAGAUGUUGUGGCUGGAGUGAAUGAUGUGGGAGAGUUUGCUCUGUAGGUAAUGAACUUGAUGAAUGUUCCUUUACUUCAACAUGCGGCACAACUGAGCACAUAUAUUCCUCUCAGGAUUAUAUUUUUAUAGCAAAGCCAAAAAGAGGUAUGA